AGAGUUUGAUCAUGGCUCAGAUUGAACGCUGGCGGCAUGCCUCAUACAUGCAAGUCGAACGGUAACAGGCGAAAAGCUUGCUUUUUGCGCUGACGAGUGGCGGACGGGUGAGUAAUGCGUAGGAAUCUGCCCUAAAGAGGGGGACAACCCGGGGAAACUCGGGCUAAAACCGCAUAAUCUUUUCGAAGCAACGCUGGCUACUUGUAGCUGGUGCUUUAGGAGGAGCCUACGUUGGAUUAGCUUGUUGGUAGGGUAAAGGCCUACCAAGGCGAUGAUCUAUAGCUGUUCUGAGAGGAAGAUCAGCCACACUGGGACUGAGACACGGCCCAGACUCCUACGGGAGGCAGCAGUAGGGAAUAUUGGACAAUGGGGGAAACCCUGAUCCAGCAAUGCCGCGUGUAUGAAGAAGGCCUGAGGGUUGUAAAGCACUUUUAAUGGGGAGGAAUAGUUCCACGUAAAUAGCGUGGAGCAGUGACGUUACCCGUAGAAUAAGCACCGGCAAACUCUGUGCCAGCAGCCGCGGUAAUACAGAGGGUGCGAGCGUUAAUCGGAAUGACUGGGCGUAAAGGGCACGUAGGCGGUUAGACAAGUUAGAUGUGAAAUCCCAGGGCUCAACCUUGGAACUGCAUCUAAAACUGUUUGACUAGAGUUCACUAGAGGGAAGCGGAAUUUCCGGUGUAGCGGUGAAAUGCGUAGAUAUCGGAAGGAACAUCAGUGGCGAAGGCGGCUUUCUGGAGUUGAACUGACGCUAAGGUGCGAAAGCGUGGGGAGCAAACGGGAUUAGAUACCCCGGUAGUCCACGCUGUAAACGAUGAGUACUAGCUGUUGGCAUGCGACGACAUGUAAGUAGCGUAGUUAACGCGAUAAGUACUCCGCCUGGGGAUUACGGCCGCAAGGCUAAAACUCAAAGGAAUUGACGGGGGCCCGCACAAGCGGUGGAACAUGUGGUUUAAUUCGAUGCAACGCGAAGAACCUUACCUACUCUUGACAUCUAUGGAACACUUGAGAGAUCUAGUGGUGCCCGAAAGGGAACCGUAAGACAGGUGCUGCAUGGCUGUCGUCAGCUCGUGUCGUGAGAUGUUGGGUUAAGUCCCGUAACGAGCGCAACCCUUGUCCUUAGUUGCCAGCACAUUAUGGUGGGGACUCUAAGGAGACUGCCGGUGAUAAGCCGGAGGAAGGUGGGGAUGACGUCAAGUCAUCAUGGCCUUUAUGAGUAGGGCUACACACGUGUUACAAUGGACAGUACAGAGGGAGGCAAAGCCGUGAGGUGGAGCGGAUCUCGGAAAACUGUUCGUAGUCCGGAUUGAAGUCUGCGAUUCGACUUCAUGAAGCUGGAAUCGCUAGUAAUCGCGAAUCAGAAUGUCGCGGUGAAUACGUUCCCGGGCCUUGUACACACCGCCCGUCACACCAUGGGAGUGGGUUGCAAAAGAAGUGGGUAGCUUAACAUUGGGCGCUCACCACUUUGUGAUUCAUGACUGGGGUGAAGUCGUAACAAGGUA
rnacentral:rRNA from 1 species